AGUGAACGCUGGCGGUAGGCCUAACACAUGCAAGUCGAGCGGCAGCACAGUAAGAGCUUGCUCUUACGGGUGGCGAGUGGCGGACGGGUGAGGAAUACAUCGGAAUCUACUUUUUCGUGGGGGAUAACGUAGGGAAACUUACGCUAAUACCGCAUACGACCUACGGGUGAAAGCAGGGGAUCUUCGGACCUUGCGCGAUUGAAUGAGCCGAUGUCGGAUUAGCUAGUUGGCGGGGUAAAGGCCCACCAAGGCGACGAUCCGUAGCUGGUCUGAGAGGAUGAUCAGCCACACUGGAACUGAGACACGGUCCAGACUCCUACGGGAGGCAGCAGUGGGGAAUAUUGGACAAUGGGCGCAAGCCUGAUCCAGCCAUACCGCGUGGGUGAAGAAGGCCUUCGGGUUGUAAAGCCCUUAUGUUGGGAAAGAAAAGCAGCAGGUUAAUACCCCGCUGUUCUGACGGUACCCAAAGAAUAAGCACCGGCUAACUUCGUG
rnacentral:rRNA from 1 species